GACGAACGCUGGCGGCGUGCUUAACACAUGCAAGUCGAACGGUGAAGCGCCUUCCUUUUUGGUGGGUGUGGAUGAGUGGCGAACGGGUGAGUAACACGUGAGUAACCUGCCCCCUUCUUCUGGAUAACCGCAUGAAAGUGUGGCUAAUACGGGAUAUUCUGGUUCUGUCGCAUGAUGGGUCUGGGCAAGAUAUUGUUUCGGUUGGGGAUGGGCUCGCGGCCUAUCAGCUUGUUGGUGGGGUGAUGGCCUACCAAGGCGGUGACGGGUAGCCGGCCUGAGAGGGUGGACGGGCAGACUGGGACUGAGACACGGCCCAGACUCCUACGGGAGGCAGCAGUGGGGAAUAUUGCACAAUGGGCGCAAGCCUGAUACAGCGACGCCGCGUGAGGGAUGGAGGCCUUCGGGUUGUGAACCUCUUUCGCCAGUGAAGCAGGCCUGCCUCGUUUGUGGGUGGGUUGACGGUAGCUGGAGAAGAAGCGCCGGCUAACUACGUG
rnacentral:rRNA from 1 species